rnacentral:rRNA from 1 species
AUGGCACCGCACUCCCCCGCCGUGAAGCUCCAGUCCCGCGCCGCGCCGGCGCCGUCGUCGGCGAUGGGCGCGCACCGGUGGUCCCGCCCCAUCGCGAAGGGCCCGCCGCGCAAGAUCAGGAUCGUGCACGUCCUGGCGCCGGAGGUGAUCAAGACGGACGCGCGGCACUUCCGCGACCUCGUGCAGCGCCUCACCGGGAAGCCGAAAGGCGGCGCAGGGUCCUCCUCGUCGUCCUCGUCGUGGUCGGCCGAGUCUUCGUCCCAGCAGGCGGCGGCAGGCGGCUCGUCGUCCGACGCCCGCGCCGUCGCCGUCGCGGUCGCCCCGGAGGCGGCGGCGGCGACCGUCAAGGCGGAGGUGAAGGAGGAGGAGGGGGACGCCGCAUCGCCGGAGGAAGGGUUCGGGCGCGCGUUCGGGGAGGCAGGGGGCACGACGACGAACGACGCCUUCUUCCAGGACCUCGACGAGUUCCUCCUCGGCGGAUGGCUUUAG